GGCGUGGUGGCAGAGUGGUCUAAUGCGCAAGACUUGAAUCAAUCUUGAUCAGCGAUCUUGUCUCUUCGGAGGCGUCCGUUCGAACCGGGCCCACGUCG